GACGAACGCUGGCGGCGUGCCUAAUACAUGCAAGUCGAACGCUUUUUCUUUCACCGGAGCUUGCUCCACCGAAAGAAAAAGAGUGGCGAACGGGUGAGUAACACGUGGGUAACCUGCCCAUCAGAAGGGGAUAACACUUGGAAACAGGUGCUAAUACCGUAUAACACUAUUUUCCGCAUGGAAGAAAGUUGAAAGGCGCUUUUGCGUCACUGAUGGAGGGACCCGCGGUGCAUUAGCUAGUUGGUGAGGUAACGGCUAACCAAGGCAACGAUGCAUAGCCGACCUGAGAGGGUGAUCGGCCACACUGGGACUGAGACACGGCCCAGACUCCUACGGGAGGCAGCAGUAGGGAAUCUUCGGCAAUGGACGAAAGUCUGACCGAGCAACGCCGCGUGAGUGAAGAAGGUUUUCGGAUCGUAAAACUCUGUUGUUAGAGAAGAACAAGGAUGAGAGUAAAACGUUCAUCCCUUGACGGUAUCUAACCAGAAAGCCACGGCUAACUACGUGCCAGCCGCCGCGGUAA
rnacentral:rRNA from 1 species